UACGGAGGGUGCAAGCGUUAUCCGGAUUCACUGGGUUUAAAGGGUGCGUAGGCGGGCAGGUAAGUCCGUGAUGAAAUCUCUGAGCUUAACUCAGAAACUGCCAUGGAUACUAUUUGUCUUGAAUAUUGUGGAGGUAAGCGGAAUAUGUCAUGUAGCGGUGAAAUGCUUAGAUAUGACAUAGAACACCAAUUGCGAAGGCAGCUUACUACACAGUUAUUGACGCUGAGGCACGAAAGCGUGGGGAUCAAACAGG
rnacentral:rRNA from 1 species